AGAAGAAACUAACCAGGAUUCCCCUAGUAACGGCGAGCGAACCGGGAAGAGCCCAGCUUGAAAAUCGGAGGGCUUCGCCCCUCGAAUUGUAGUCUGGAGAAGCGUCCUCUGCAUCGGACCGGGCCCAAGUUCCCUGGAACGGGACGAGAGAAAGGGUGAGAUCCCCGUCGAGCCCGGACCCUGAUGCUCCACGAGGCGCUGUCGGCGAGUCGGGCUGUUUGGGAAUGCAGCCCUAAGCGGGUGGUAAAUUCCAUCCAAGGCUAAAUACCGGCGAGAGACCGAUAGCGAACAAGUACCGCGAGGGAAAGAUGAAAAGGACUUUGAAAAGAGAGUUAAAGAGUGCUUGAAAUUGCUGGGAGGGAAGCGAAUGGAAGCUGCGGGUGCGCCCCGGUUGGAUGCGGAACGGCGGUAGCUGGUCCGCCGCUCAACGCGGGGCGCUGGUCAGCGUGGGCCGUCGCGGCGGGACAAGAGCCGGCUUUCGUUGCCGGCCGAUGCCGUUGUGGCGGCCGAGGAACGAAGCGCGCGCCCUUCUGGGCGGGCCCCUCGGGGCACCUGCGCGCUCGGGACGCUGGCGCAUCGAGCUCUCCAUCCGACCCGUCUUGAAACACGGACCAAGGAGUCUAACAUGUAUGCGAGCCGGUGGGCGGCAAACCCAUUGAGGCGUAAGGAACCUGACAGGUGGGAUCCCCUUUCCGGGGGAGCACCAUCGACCGACCGUGAUCUUCUGUGAAAGGUUUGAGUGCGAGCAUGCCCGUUGGGACCCGAAAGAUGGUGAACUAUGCCUGAGCAGGGCGAAGCCAGAGGAAACUCUGGUGGAGGCUCGUAGCGAUACUGACGUGCAAAUCGUUCGUCAGACUUGGGUAUAGGGGCGAAAGACUAAUCGAACCAUCUAGUAGCUGGUUCCCUCCGAAGUUUCCCUCAGGAUAGCUGGAGCUCGUGCACUAGUUUUAUCAGGUAAAGCGAAUGAUUAGAGGCAUCGGGGGUGUAACACCCUCGACCUAUUCUCAAACUUUAAAUAGGUAAGAUGCCUGGGUUGCUCAGUUGAACCCCGGCGCGGAAU
rnacentral:rRNA from 1 species